GAUUCCUGGAAGACAUUCUUCUCUCCAACGAGACACAUGAUGCAUGAAGUAGGAGCCCCUGGCAAGGAGCCCAGGCUGCCAUGGCCUCGCUCGCUCCUGCUUCCCGGCAUGGCCCCGAGGCUAGCUGCCUCUGUACUGCCUGAGCAUCGUCCCCUGGCGUGUCACCAGACUACCCACUACCUGUGCUUGCACCUGCAGGUGGGCAGUUCAGUCGUUGCAGGCUGAAGCUCCCUGUCACAGGAGUCCAUCAGCACUGGAGUUUACCAAAUGGCCCAGUCCAGGAAGCAUGCUCAUGGCAAUACCCGGAGUCUCCACUGCAAGACCAGAGUGACGGAGGCAGCAGAGCUCCUCAGCAGGCCAGGAGUCUCCAGAGGCACUGCCGAAUGUCUAAGAAGCAACCUCAUUGUAUUCCCAAGACCUGGGAAUCCAGGUCUCGCAGAUACGAUGAUACAAUCUAUAGCCAGGACAUCUCUUCAUGUGUAGUUUUCAAUGAAUACUAGGAUAAGCAACUAUCCCAGUCUUCCCAGGAUUGAGGGGCUUCUCCAGAUGCUGCACUUCUGGUGCUAAAAAUGAGAAACUGAAAUGAAUUAGUCACCCAAGGAAUGCUGACCCUGUGCUAUAUGAUCACAUUUACUCUUUAAAGCAAUGCUUUGAGGUGCAUAUAUUCUCACUGUGGCUGACAUC
rnacentral:lncRNA from 10 species